AUGGGGAAUGGGUCACAUGCUUCUGUUCGUGGCAUUGGCACGGUGGAUCUGAAGUUUACUUCGGGAAAGAUCGUGCAACUAAGGAACAUGCAGCAUGUCCCUACUAUGAACAAGAAUCUAGUUAGCGGCUCCCUUCUAUGUCGAGAUGGAUUUAAGGUAGUUUUAGAGUCCAAUAAAGUAAUCGUGUCAAGAUUUGGACAAUUUAUAGGAAAAGGCUAUGAGUGCGGAGGCUUGUUCCGCUUUUCUCUUUCAGAUUUUUGCAAUAAGUCAAUAAACCAAAUUUGUGCUAGUGUUAAUGAUGAUGCAAGUAUUUGGCACUCUCGUUUAUGUCAUAUUAAUUUUGGUUUAAUGUCUCGGCUAUCCAGCAUAAGUUUAAUUCCGAACUUCACAGUUGCCAAAGGUUCUAAGUGCCAUAGUUGUGUGCAAUCUAAGCAACCUCGAAAGCCUCAUAAGGCUGCCGAGGAGAGAAACUUGGCACCUCUAGAACUCAUACAUUCUGAUCUUUGUGAGAUGAAUGGUGUGUUGACAAAAGGUGGAAAGAGAUAUUUCAUGACUUUGAUUGAUGAUGCGACUAGAUUUUGCUAUGUUUAUUUGUUGCAAACUAAAGAUGAAGCAUUAGACUACUUUAAAAUCUAUAAAGCUGAAGUUGAAAAUCAACUAGAGAGAAAGAUCAAGCGUCUUAGGUCCGAUCGUGGUGGAGAGUAUUUUCCAAAAGUUUUUGAUGAAUUUUGUGAGGAACAUGGUAUUAUUCAUGAGAGGACGCCUCCCUAUUCACCUCAAUCAAAUGGAGUGGCCGAGAGGAAAAACCGCACAUUGACUGACUUGGUGAAUGCCAUGUUAGACACUGCUGGUUUAUCUAAGGCAUGGUGGGGGAGGCUCUAUUGA
rnacentral:rRNA from 1 species